GGAUGUGAGGGCGAUCUGGCUGCGACAUCUGUCACCCCAUUGAUUGCCAGGUUUGAUUCGGCUGAUCUGGCUGGCUAGGCAGGUGUCCCCUUCCUCCCUCACCGCUCCAUGUGUGUCCCUCCGGAAGCUGUGCACUAGGUCGAAGAGGACGGCCUUCCCCGAAUAGAGACGGACUGGUCUUUGGUCAAGGGUAUACGAGUAGCUGCGCUCCCCUGCUAGAACCUCCAAACAAGCUCUCAAGGAAUAGAAAACUGGAUCAGGGCAGAGAGUAGCUUUCAAAUAUGGGAAAAGUAUAUAAAUACCAUUAACUAU
ensembl:misc_RNA 7SK 7SK RNA